AUAAAAGUUUUGAAGAGCGAGUAAAAUUAUCCAAGACUUUAAGAGAGUUUUCGUUUGGUGAGAGAAAAUAGGGAGGGUAAUUUGAAUAGGAGCUUGGAACUUGCAUCUCGAUAUUUAGAUUUGCACGGUUAUGCGUUAUAGUUUUUGAGGUAUAGAAAUAUACAAAUUUGGGUGGUACCACGAUUUUCGUCCCUUUC
rnacentral:ncRNA from 1 species